rnacentral:rRNA from 1 species
CUACGUGCCAGCAGCCGCGGUAAUACGUAGGUGGCGAGCGUUGUCCGGAAUCAUUGGGCGUAAAGGGAGCGCAGGCGGGCCGGUAAGUCUUACUUAAAAGUGCGGGGCUCAACCCCGUGAUGGGAGAGAAACUAUCGGUCUUGAGUACAGGAGAGGAAAGCGGAAUUCCCAGUGUAGCGGUGAAAUGCGUAGAUAUUGGGAAGAACACCAGUGGCGAAGGCGGCUUUCUGGACUGCAACUGACGCUGAGGCUCGAAAGCCAGGGGAGCGAACGGGAUUAGAUACCCCGGUAGUCCUGGCCGUAAACGAUGGAUACUAGGUGUGGGAGGUAUCGACCCCUACCGUGCCGGAGUUAACGCAAUAAGUACCCCGCCUGGGGAGUACGACCGCAAGGUUGAAACUCAAAGGAAUUGACGGGGGCCCGCACAAGCGGUGGAGUAUGUGGUUUAAUUCGACGCAACGCGAAGAACCUUACCAGGUCUUGACAUUGAUGGACAGAACUAGAGAUAG